rnacentral:tRNA from 1 species
GCCCCAUUGGCGCAGUUGGUUAGCGCGUCGUACUUAUAAGUGUAAUAACCAAGAAAUGCGAAGGUCGGCAGUUCGAGCCUGCCAUGGGGCA